GUCAGCUGCCAAAACCCGGCCAUGCACGGCAAGAGGGGAGAGCCCCAGCGCUGGGGAAGGUCUCGCAGCAGUAGUGGCCUGUGAUAAAUGUUAUGAGUAAAAAGUUAUCAGUUUUUUUUAAGGCUGCAGAGUUAAAACAGGUUGGACCAGUUGCUGUUAAGUUGAAAGUUUGACUAUUUGUUGUUAAUAGCUUCAUGUUGCGGUCACCUAUUGCUGAGAGUUUUUCUUCGAUUGCCUGUUAAUGGUUGCUGAUCAGCCAUUGUUCCCCCUGCUGCUUGCCAGAGAGUGACAUGGGACCCUGCAGGUAGCAGGGGAAGGGAAUGACACUAGAGCUGAUAUGAAGAUGAGAAUGCAUUUCACCAGAUUUUGCAAUUUUCCAGGAAAAAACCCUAAAAACAAUGAGCCAACAUGGAAUUAAGAGACCUAAGUGAUGUCUAAAGGAAAAUAACAGAAACUACAGAAACUAGCUGCUCAUCUGGAUAAAGCUUCCUGCUCAUUCUUGGACAUCCCCUUUGAUUAUGUGGGAGUCAUUUAAAAAUGUAGAAGAUGAGGAUGGGAAGGCUACAUUUUAUUAAGUCCUGUCUCCUGAGUAGCACCUGGAAAUUAUCUCAAGCUGUCACUGGUGGCCUGCUCAUAUUUUGUACUUUUUCCCUCUCCACAGCUUAAGCUGAGGAGGAGAAUUGUUUGGCACCUGUCAUCCAGCCAGGCUGAAUCCACCACAGAUGCCUAAAUCCUGACUCUUCAACCAGUUGAUCUAUAAUCACUCUCUGGCUUCAACUAUAAGACAUAGAAACCCAAGUGGAUAAACCAAAGAAGAAAAAUUAAUUCAACAAAGAAAGGAGUAAUAUAAAAGGAAGAUGAAAUAUGUUUGUUUGUUGGGUUGGUUUUUUUCAAGAAUAUUCUCUGCUCCUUGCCAAAAAACCUGAACAUUUUGGUAAAGUUAUGUACCCUGAAAAACAGGUUAUUAAAAUGUGAAGGAGUUGUUCCACAAAAAUAAUUUUUAAAAAAGGUUAAAAAAAAGUAUGUUUCUUCUAACCUUGUAUGCAGACAUUUCUCAGUGUAUUAAAAAUAUUCAGACAUUGUCGGAAUGAGCUGAACAAGAUUCUCUAGGGCUAGAAAAUAUCUCAAAUCUGGAAGCUGUGGCAAAAAUGCCCUUUGACACUAGGUAACGACAGGUUAACAUUCUCAUCUCUUACUCUGCUGUCAAAGUAAAUUAACCAUGAAUUUACUGAAGAGAAAGAAAGAGAAAGUUUUGAUUCUAAUUCUUCCUUAUUCUCACAUGAGGAAUAUUAAUAAAGUAACUCUGUAGGGAUGCAUUUAAAUUGUUAAAUAUUUUCAGUUCCUGAGUUUGCUCCUUGUUCCUUAAUUAUUCUCAUGUUAGUUUGCUAACAGGCUUUUUGUCCAGGACUGAGGCAAUAGUUUUCCUUUGGGGUAAAAUCCUGAUAUAGUUCUGGGGACGACUCAUGCCUGUGGGCAGGAGGUGUGAGGCUGUGCCAUGCAUCCUGCUCCCCAUUUGCACAGGUGUUGCAGUGCCUAUUCCAUCAUGCCUCGCACCAUUAAGAGCUCCUCAUGUCCCCCAGGAGUCAGAAGUGUGAUGUAGACCCUUGACCUUAUCAUAUCAGAUACUCAUAUCCAUCACUCACAUGAGCACAGCACUCAUUUUGUUUCAGGAAUUUAAAUAUUAAAAAUUAAAAUUAGAAUUUAAAAAAAUAAUAAUAAAAAAAGGGGGUGGGAACACAGAAAAAGCCUUAAAAAAGCCAAAUCAGAUUUUAAGAAGCAUGAAAACUGAUGCUUUAGUAGAGGAGACCUGUAUAGAGAAAUGUCUGUGCAAGCUCUUCUGCACUUUUUGGCCUCUACGUUUGGGUGGGCACCUUUUGCAUUGUAGGUAUAGCCUUGAAUCUUUCAAACAGCAUUUCUCAUGCUGAAUUCUCUGAGCAGGUGGACUGAAUUCAGUUCUCAGUGUAAACUAGAGCAGGCUCACUUGAAAAUUUUUGAUAGCAUGGCUCCUCUUAGUUAUGUAUUUGUAAAUUAUAUGAUUUUUUUUUUUUUCACAUCAGACAAGAAAAAUCUUGUAUAGCUUAAACCUGGACCAUCUGACUGAGCAAAAAAUCUCUUGUCUCUUAAACUAAACUACCCAGAUGAGCUAUCAUCCUUGGGUAAAAAACUUAUUGGAGCAGAUCAGAAAAAAUUCAUGUUCUCGGGCCCAGUAUUGGAAACCCACAGAAGUUACAAGGCCAAUAUCCCAUCUCUGAGGAAUAUCAACAAGGAUAUGCUGAUUGACUUUAGCUGUCAGAUUCAUGAUGAUUGGGACUCAGACUGCACAUGGCUUUCUCAAGUCUCUAAGAGCUAAAGGUGGGAGAUGUAUCUCAGCCCUUGGCAGCUGGGCCACUGAAGAAACUGCUAACACAAACAAAAAAAAAAAAAAAAAAAAAAAAAAAAAAAAAAAAAAAAAAAAAAAAAACCAGUCUGAAAAUUGAGUUGCUGUGGGGUCCACAUUCUUGAGAAUUUAAAAUUUAGGUAGGACUGAAUGUAACAAAUAUAAGAAAUAUUAAAUGUGACAUAUAUAGGGAAUAGCCCAAAUACUAAGAUGCCUAUCAACCUGAAUAUUCCAUUUGGGUACUUAGAGGGUAGACAGGUCCUGGGCUGGAUGAAUUUCCCUGUGCAGGUAACUCAAUCUUAGCAUUAAUGUCAAAAAGUGUAGUGUAAUUUCCUGAGUUCAGUGCCUGAACUAAGUAACUUAGACUUAGUAACUUAGUUCAGUAACUUAACUUAGUAACAAACACUAAUCCAUUCCUAAAUUUCUGUAUUACUAGACAUGGGCAUUAAGAUAUCAUAGAUCAGGCCUUAUUAGAAUUAUAAAAACCUCCAUAAAUAAAUUUUAAUAAAGCAAUGUUGAUUUUUUUUUAAUUUAAGACACAGGAUCAGAUGUUCCUCUUCCUAACCAUGGCAGCUUGAAACACAUUUUGAAUUUUUUUUUUCAUUUGUUUGGUUUAGUUACAAUUGAAUUUGCAUAUAAUCAAAUCACUCUAUGAGUCUUUAAAAAUGUAAACACAACCAAUGAAAUCCCAUUACUUAUAUCAUCACAAAAUGAAGAAUUGGCAGCAUAGUAGGAAACAUGAGAUAAAUGUGAAUAUUCAGAAUUCUCACUAGGUGCACAAGUACAUACAAAAUAGCUUUUAGGAGUAUAAUUUAUGUGCGGAAGUACCCAUUUGUCAUAUAUAACCAUCAGGCAGGAGGAAUAUGAAAAUACCUUCUUGUGAGCUGCAUAUUUCAUAUUUCAAAACAAUUGUACGCUGUUUGUUUAUUUGUUUUACCUUUGUUGACAAUAUCAGCUCAUUUUGAAUAACCUCCCUUACACAGCCUCUUCAGAGCGAAGUGAUGAUUCAGCCUGGGCUGUUUUUGGGAGACAGAGAGAGAGAGAGAGAAAGUUGAUGGGACCAGGUUUCUAAGUGGUUGUGACUCAAAACUUUAAUUGAAAUGAAAAAGGACUGCAAUUCCCAUCAUCUGAAGAACAAAAAGCAGAAGACUACCUGAAGAAGAAAGAAGAAAAAUGUUUUUUAAAACAAACAAAUGAGAAAGUUUUUGUGGAUUAUACAGAACGUUCAAAGGAAUGGAGUUAGUCGUGAACAGAUAUUAAAGAUUUCUGGUCUUACAAAGCAUCUGGCAUUUUGAAAUAAUUUAAUGGACAGUCGGUAGCUAAGACAUUGAAAGCAUGAUCCUGUAAGUCUGUAGGCAUGUCCUGAAGUGUAUAUGUCAGAGUAACAUUGUGAGAUUCAAUAGGAGGGUUCAAUGUGCCCACGCUGGCCAUGGUGAUUCAGCCCUGAACCUCGAUUCCACUUUACGUUAGAUGCUUUCCAUAAACUCUGUGUCUGUUUUCUUCCUGGCCAAAGAGCUGCUGGCUGCAUCUCUCUCUCGUGAUUCCUUCAGUGUUAGGGAUCAAGAUGUGAUUAAUAGUCACCUACAGUGCUGUUUAUGAAAAAGCAGCUCAAGAUAUCAUCGUCCAGCACGCAAGUCAUUUCCUGUUUCUUUGCCUUUCAGUAGUAGUCCUUUGGCAGAUAGGAAAGGAGAGUAUAUGUUUGAAUAUCAGAGAUCCAAGCCAAAAUAUUUGUUCAUGAAGUAACUGAAUGACUGGAAGACACAGAUAAUUGUCUUAUUAAUACUAACAGUUUAGCUCAAAGUACUUGCACAUCUCCAGUAUGCACUCAGUUUAUUGAAUUUUUUUUAAAUUCUUUCUGACAUGUGGUUAUUUAAUCUUCUGCCAACACCAUCUACCAAACAGAUUCUUCCCUGCUAUGCCCAUGAAGCUUUUGUACUAUUGAUGUUUUCACAGUGAACAGUGUAUGUGUGUCAAAUUAUAGCUAUUGAUCUUCAUUUUUUUCUAAUGUGUGUAGUUGUUUAGAUAGCAUUAUAGUUUGUCUGAUUGUGGUUAUAUAAAUAAAAGGAGUGUAAAGAAGGAAAAAAUCUUGCCAUUUUUAUUUUGUUUAUAAAUUUCACUGUUGAAAGUAGACUGUUUAUUUGAAUUGA